AAUGCACACAGAGGCAAGAAAGGCAGGAGUUCAGUUCUAUGGAAGAAUUUAGCGGGUAUUCCUCCCCAACCUAGCUCUACGGAGUGUGACUACUUCGUGAUGAGAUACAUGCGAGAUAUAAUUGAAGAUAAGGAUCUAUCGUUUGUUCAUAAGUGGGAGAGGAGAAGCAACUACAUGUAUAGCCAAGAGGACAUUGAUGUAAUCCGGAAUGAGUGGGCAAAAUUUGUCGUCAAGUCAUAUAUGUAGGAGCCAUCAAGUUGGUUG